rnacentral:rRNA from 1 species
UACGGAGGGUGCGAGCGUUGUCCGGAAUUACUGGGCGUAAAGAGCUCGUAGGUGGUUUGUCGCGUUGGGCGUGAAAACUCACAGCUUAACUGUGGGCGUGCGGGCGAUACGGGCAGACUGGAGUACUGCAGGGGAGACUGGAAUUCCUGGUGUAGCGGUGGAAUGCGCAGAUAUCAGGAGGAACACCGGUGGCGAAGGCGGGUCUCUGGGCAGUAACUGACGCUGAGGAGCGAAAGCGUGGGGAGCGAACAGG